AACCGAUUUAUAUGUUUGGUACAGAGAUAGCUUGCAUCCCGGAAACAUGGGCUACUUUUUGUCCCGGAAAAUAAGAGUUCCCAUGGGAUUUGUAAAAACCCCUAAUAAAUACACUACACAGUCGCGGGCAUCAUCUUUUUAGUAUACAGAGACGGCUUGCAUCCCGGGAGACUACUAGCCUGUAUACUUUUAUCCCGAAAAAUUAAAUAGUUCCCUCAGGAUUUUUAAAAACCAAAAUGCACGCGGAAAGUCUCGGACAUCGUCUAGUUUCUCAUAUUUUGCUUAGGUGGCCUUAUAUAGGCACUUUUAGGUGGGUAUAGAUGCGUAGUAUCAGUUAAAUGCCAUAUUACAACAAGUAUAAUCCAUUAUACAAUCUCAAGAAGGCGCAUCGUUAAUAACUAUAAAAGCACCUUCUAUUAUAUAUAACAUUACUAUCACAAUCAUCUAAUUUCAAAUCAAGAGUACCCAUUAGGAUUUUUGGCUACCAAAUAAUAUCUUUACAAUAUUUUGUAUUAAAUACUUAUUACACUAAACGACUGAUUAAUAUAAACAUCAUAAUUCCAAUAAGCUUCAUCUAUUACCUAUUUUAUUUGCUUUUAUUACAAUUUUACAUUAUUAUUGUAUUAUAUACAUUUUAAGUAUACUAUUGUCACGUUAAUAAAACGAUAUUGUCAAUUAAAUCUAUCAUAUUUUUACAUCUUUAAUGCAAAUCAAAUGCAAAUUAAGUUACUACGAUAAAAUUAAGUAUAAAUAUUUAUUUUAUUUCAUAAGGUUUCGUAAGUCCAUUCAAGUAUAUUUUAACUUUAUAUUAUUUUAAGAUACGUUGACGUAACGAUGGGCGAUUGUUGCAAAAAAAAAAACAAUCGAAUGAAUCGAACAAUUGAACAAUCGAUGUCAACGGUUAUUCGAUUGUUAUCGAAUAAUAACAACAAUCGAAUACUUCGAUUGUUAUUCGAAUGAAUCACCCACCGCUAACUUGACAUCGCAAGAAACAACACUGACUAUAUAAUGUUGUACACUUUGCACAAAUACCAAAGUAACGCGUACCUAUGAGUAGAACUAGUAUAUACAGAGCAGCUUAUCACAAAAUGGCGGCGAA